CCCCACCCCACCCCCGUAUCCGCAACAAGCAUGUUGACUCAAUCAGGGCUCUCUUCCACUGAAGGGGGUGCUGCCUCCAACCCCAUCCUCUACCCACAGCUCUAAGCAACCAACCCAGCCCUGGUCAAGAAGUGAGGGUAGGGCCUGGCCUGCAUCACCCCAUGCCUACCCCUCUGAUGUCACAAUCCUCACAGAGCUUUCCUGACUGUCCUCAGGGCUCUCUUUUUGCUCUGCUCCUGUCCAGCUCCACACCUGCUUCCCGACCCCAGGGCACCUAGGGCCCUGGCCUUAGAAUUGGAUCCAAAAACGCUUGGCCUCCAGCCUGUCUACCUCUGGGCCGUGAUCUCCCCCAAGGGUCACAUGGCACAGGCCCAGAGGGGACUCUGGAUGGUGACUUCUCACCUGUGCAUGGUCAUGAGCCCUCGGGGAAGGCCCCUCACGGAGACCUGGCCCCAGCACUCACCACAACCUGGAGCGGGGAAAGCGAGAAUGCCCGUCUCCAGGGUUCUCACGGGAAUUCACUCAGGAGCCAACACACACCAGAUGUGCAGACUCCUUACCGGUGUUUAUCGCCAAGUGACUAAUACACCGUUAAUACGAGGCCCCUGCAGUGAAAGUGGCAGGGUCACACGGCACACGUCUGUCCCCCGUGGGGGGACCGAGAGGCCACCCCCACCCCUACUCCACGCCAGUGCCACGCUCCGCCCAUCCAUCCUCAUCCAACAACGUCGCCUCGCACCCAUCCUGUGCCAGAUGCCGUGCAAAGGAUGACAGGAUGGGAGGCCCGACCUCUACCGUCCAGGAGCCCAUGUAGUGAAGGAGCUCACGUUCCUUGCACGGGGGUCUGAUGAUGGCCCGUGAUGAUCUGGUGGGCGCCUGCAAUACACUAAGUACCGUGAACUUCAAAUGUCUCAAACCCUUGCAGUGAUGCUACCGAGUGUCAUCAUGUCCCUUCCUACAGAGGAGGAAACGGAGGCUCAGGAAGUCCAGGCUCAGGCGACCUGCCCGAGCCAUAGCUCCUAAGCGUCAACACCUGGCUGUGGGUCCCCAGAACCCACGCUCUUCCUGGGGGCACCACACUGCCCUUGAGGCCGACCCCAUGGCCCGCCCCGCUCCACCCUUCUGCGACUCUCACCCUCAGUGAGAGCCGGUCUCUGUGGCCUGGACCGUGGGCCUUGCCUGUCGCUGUGCUCAGACCAGGCCUGCCUGUCCCAGGCUGCCACCCCGGGCUUGUGCUGUUUCCUCAGCCUGGGAUGUUCUCCUGUGCAACCUGACCUCUCCGUUCCUCAAGAUCCGGGUUGGGAGCACCAACCUGGAAGGUCUCAGCUAGCGAGACGCUCCGUGUCCCUGAAGACACUGUCGGGUCCUCUGCGCUGGCACAGGUCCAUCUCCCGCAGCGGACUUGGGGGUCCCGGGGAACAGGACCCUCCACGGCAUCAUCCCACGGAAGGUCCGUCCUCAGGAGCCGCGCAGCUGGACCAAGUAGGAUUGGAUUGCUGAAAAUAGGAAAGUGGGCUCAAUCGGGGGUCAGAAAAGGGUUGUAGGGACACCUGGGUGGCUCAGCGGUUUAGUGCUGCCUUCAGCCCAGGGCGUGACCUGGGGUCCCGGGAUCAAGUCCCACGUUGGGCUCCCUGCAUGGGGCCUGCUUCUCCCUCUGCCUGUGUCUCUGCCUCUCUCUCUCUCUCUCUCUCUGUCUCUCAUGAAUAAAUAAAAACAAAAAUAUUUUUAAAAAAGAAAA
ensembl:lncRNA